AUUGAACGCUGGCGGCAUGCCUUACACAUGCAAGUCGAACGGUAACGGGCCUUCGGGUGCCGACGAGUGGCGAACGGGUGAGUAAUAUAUCGGAACGUACCUUUCAGUGGGGGAUAACGUAGCGAAAGUUACGCUAAUACCGCAUAUUCUGUGCGCAGGAAAGCAGGGGACCUUCGGGCCUUGCGCUGAUUGAGCGGCCGAUAUCAGAUUAGCUAGUUGGUGAGGUAAAGGCUCACCAAGGCGACGAUCUGUAGCGGGUCUGAGAGGAUGACCCGCCGCACUGGAACUGAGACCAGGUCCAGACUCCUACGGGAGGCAGCAGUUGGGAAUUUUGGACAAUGGGGGCAACCCUGAUCCAGCCAUGCCGCGUGAGUGAAGAAGGCCUUCGGGUUGUAAAGCUCUUUCGGCCGGGAAGAAAUCGUAUGGGCUAAUACCCUGUGCGGAUGACGGUACCGGCAUAAGAAGCACCGGCUAACUACGUGCCAGCCGCCGCAGUAAGAC
rnacentral:rRNA from 1 species